CAGCAGCCGCGGUAAUACCGGCGGCCCGAGUGGCGGUCACUAUUAUUGGGCUUAAAACGUCCGUAGCCGGGUUGGGAAGUCCUCCGGGAAAUCUGGCCGCUUAACGGUCAGAAUGCCGGAGGAUACUCCCAGCCUAGGGAGCGGGGGAGGCCGAGGGGAUUCCCGGGGUAGGGGUGAAAUCCUAUAAUCCCGGGAGGACCACCUGUGGCGAAGGCGCUCGGCUGGAACGCGUCCGACGGGGAGGGACGAAGGCCAGGGGAGCAAACCGGAUUAGAUACCCGGGUAGUCCUGGCUGUAAACGAUGCGGACUUUGUGUCGGACAAGCUAUGAGCUUGUCCGGUGCCGGAGGGAAACCGUUAAGUCCGCCGCCUGGGGAGUACGGCCGCAAGGCUGAAACUUAAAGGAAUUGGCGGG
rnacentral:rRNA from 1 species